GUGGGGAAUUUUGGACAAUGGGCGCAAGCCUGAUCCAGCAAUGCCGCGUGCAGGAAGAAGGCCUUCGGGUUGUAAACUGCUCUUGUACGGAACGAAAAGGCUCUGGUUAAUACCUGGGGCUCAUGACGGUACCGUAAGAAUAAGCACCGGCUAACUACGUGCCAGCAGCCGCGGUAAUACGUAGGGUGCAAGCGUUAAUCGGAAUUACUGGGCGUAAAGCGUGCGCAGGCGGUUUUGUAAGACAGACGUGAAAUCCCCGGGCUCAACCUGGGAAUGGCGUUUGUGACUGCAAAGCUGGAGUGCGGCAGAGGGGGAUGGAAUUCCGCGUGUAGCAGUGAAAUGCGUAGAUAUGCGGAGGAACACCGAUGGCGAAGGCAAUCCCCUGGGCCUGCACUGACGCUCAUGCACGAAAGCGUGGGGAGCAAACAGGAUUAGAAACCCGUGUAGUCC
rnacentral:rRNA from 1 species